rnacentral:misc_RNA from 1 species
GAUGAAGAACGCAGUGAAAUGCGAUACGUAAUGUGAAUUGCAGAAUUCAGUGAAUCAUCGAAUCUUUGAACGCAUAUUGCGCUCUCUGGUAUUCCGGAGAGCAUGCUUGUUUGAGUAUCAGUAAACACCUCAACUUCCAUAUCUUUUUUUGAAAUGGGAGUUGGACUUGAGUGAUCCCAACGCUUUUCCUCACCGAAAAGUGGCGGGUUACUUGAAAUGCAGGUGCAGCUGGACUUUUCUCUGAGCUAUAAGCAUAUCUAUUUAGUCUGCCUAAAAAACAGAUUAUUACCUUUGCUGCAGCUAACAUAAAGGAGAUUAGUUCUUGUGCUGACUGAUGCAGGAUUCACAAAGACAGCUUCGGCCGACUUUGUAAACUCGAUCUCAAAUCAAGUAAGACUACCCGCUGAACUUAAGCAUAUCAAUAAGCGGAGGA